UACACGUACAGAAAUUUACUACCCUGUCUCUAUACCAACGUGCUUGUCAGUGGACCUACGGUAACUGCUGUCCCGCCCCGCCCCGACCCCACGGAGGUGGAUGUGGAGACGAGGCUGGGGGCGCGCACAGGUGUACAUCAAGUCAUCAACAUGGCAUCGCAUCGCCGGCCGGCCCGGUGGUCCUGCCGUGUCCAGAUCAGCACGAGCACACCAGGUC
rnacentral:lncRNA from 1 species